UGGAAGUAAAAGUCGUAACAAGGUCUCCGUUGGUGAACCAGCGGAGGGAUCAUUA
rnacentral:rRNA from 42 species